rnacentral:rRNA from 1 species
GACGAACUGUGCAAACGUUAUUCGGAAUCACUGGGCUUGAAGAGUGCGUAGGCGGUUUUGUAAGUAGGGUGUGAAAGCCCCCGGCCCAACCGGGGAACUGCGCCCUAAACUGCAAGGCUGGAGUGAGGUAGGGGUGUGUGGAACUUCUAGUGGAGCGGUGAAAUGUGUUGAUAUUAGAAGGAACGCCGGUGGCGAAAGCGACACACUGGACCUUGUCUGACGCUGAGGCACGAAAGCCAGGGGAGCAAACGGG